rnacentral:lncRNA from 1 species
UGAUGUCCAUGAAGGCGAAUGGGGCAAACCAGGCACUGUCAUCUGCUGGGAUUACUUCCAUGGUAUUAUAUAAGUUCAGAUCAAUUUGUUCUUCGUUAUUCGAGAGAUUCUUGAUGAUCGGUAAUCGAUAUAUGUUAUAUCUGUUAAUUAUUAUCAUUUAAACGUCAAUAUGAACUCUCUCUCAAUUACUCGAGUCAUUAAAGCGUAAUGAUUUUUGACAUAAUAUCAGACCUUACAUGACCUAUGUAUAGGUCUCUAUUAAGGUUUUCGGUAGCCUUUAAUUCUUGCACAUGACUUAUUCAUGUUGCGAAAACAAUCAUCAUAUUCAUCGGAAAAAAAAACAUCAGCUUCAUCUUCUGAGAGUUCCGUUGAGAAGACUUAUUAAUGAAUAAUAUAAAAACUUAUUAAAAUUUGCGAGAGGCAAUGGUUCUUAAUAAUUUAAGCCUGAUGUAACUAACAGAUAUCUGUAUUUUAUUUCUUUGGGGGGAUAACCAUUGAAGACGGGGAAGCAAAGAUGGCGAAAGAGGUGAUCGAGGAGAUCGACGAUGUGAAUCUGUCGACGACCUUCAAGGUGAUAGAAGGAGAUCUGAUGAAGGACUACAAGAACUUUAAGCUGGUGGUUAAGGCCACUCCCCAAAAGAAGACCGAGGGAGAAGACUGGUGUCUGGUUCACUGGAUCCUGGACUACGAGAAGCUGAAAGAGGAAACCCCAGAGCCUUUCUCUCUGCUUGAAUUUGUGGUUCACACCAGUAAAGACAUUGAUGACCAUCACACCAAGAAGAAAUGAUGAUCAUCAUAUGGAUCAGUGUCGGUGCAAGCAUCAUGAUAUGAUAAUAUUAUUAAUUAAGCAAUCAAAUAAUGAUGUGUGGAGAUGCUGUGAUUAAUUAAGUAUGUGUUGCUGGUUUCUGUGUGAUAUGUUUCAAUUUAUGGGGUUUACUGACUACGUACAGUAAACUUCCAAAGUAGUGGUGAGCCAUGAAAAUCCGGUUUCGGUUUUCUCGACCAAACUAUAACUAAAUAAUCGAUUUCAAUCAAAUUGUCACGUCUAGGUGAGCCGGUCAAAAGUUUGGUCUACUUUUGUUAAUAUGUGAUGUGAUGUCAACACCCACGGCUUGCAUGUUUAAUAAAAUUAUGAUUUAAAGUGUGCUAUGCCUGGAUUUUCUGCUUUUCUUUCUUGAGUU